rnacentral:lncRNA from 1 species
CCAUUAUCAUCCCCGAUAUGGAGGCGGGGAACCCAAAACACCAAGAGCAGUGGGUGCUUAGGAAGCCACAGAGCUGGGAGUAGAGCCCCAGCAGCCUGAUCCAGAGCCCCUGUUCUUCACCACCACCCUGCCCUCCUCCAGGGAGCACAAUGGGGGUCCCGGAGCCUCUUUCCAUCUGUUGGAUCUCGGUGAGAGGGUCUCACUCUGUCACCCAGGCUGGAGCUCUGUGGCACGAUUGCACUGCAGCCUCAGAUUCCCAGGCUCAAGCAAUCCUCCUGCCUCAGCCUCCCAAGUAGCUGGGACUACAGAUCUUACAUUUGGAAAGAAGUCAAGGUAUAGUCUAACCCCAGAAGAUCAAAAUAUAUUGAACUUUUUUUGUAAAGAUGAUAACAGCCAAGAAAACAAAAAUUGAAGUGAACACGAUGAUGAAGAGAGUAAAGAAAGAUAAAGACAAGGCUGAAGGUGGCAUUCAUAAAAGUCCCAGCGCUGAAGGGAGAGGCUGUGCUUGAAGAAGAAAAAGUCUGCUAGCCACGGUAAGACAAAUUAAGACGGGUUGGUGAGGAUACUCUGAGGCAAAGAAAAUUCAACGUUAUCAAAAACCCAUGCUCAAGUUAGGAGAGACUGCAGUAAAGAGAAACUUCCCUCUUGCUUCCAUGGUUAAAGGGUGACUUAGAGUUCCUGCACUGUUUCAUUAAUAUACAAGUCGAGUGUUGCUAAUACCAGUGGGGAUGACAGACAGUUUUACUUUGUGAAUUUCUGGUUUCUAAUGAUGCAUUUGAGCUUUAUUUUUUACAGCUGUCCUUGUCUUAAUCCUUUACUUUUUUCUCCCUGGG